UACGUAGGUGGCAAGCGUUGUCCGGAUUUACUGGGCGUAAAGCGCGUGUAGGCGGCCCGUUUAGUCUGUCGUGAAAUCUCCGGGCUUAACCCGGAACGGUCAGCCGAUACUGCAGGGCUAGAGUGCAGAAGGGGCAACUGGAAUUCCUGGUGUAGCAGUGAAAUGCGUAGAUAUCAGGAGGAAUACCGAUGGCGAAGGCAGGUCUCUGGGCUGACACUGACGCUCAUGCACGAAAGCGUGGGGAGCAAACAGG
rnacentral:rRNA from 1 species